rnacentral:lncRNA from 10 species
CGAAGAUGGCAGAGUGAGGCAUGCCGCCGUAAACCAGCCUCUGGGCUGUAGGCAGGCCAGUCCCCCGGGAGGCCUCAUGCAUGUGUUGGACCAUGCCCGGAGAAGAAAAAAAGAGAUCGGCCAGGGGAAAGGAAUUAAAGCAACAUUCUUUCUCCCUCCCUUUCAGAGGGGAGUGGUCAUCUACACUUAUAAAGCAAAGGUCUUAAGUUCCUUAUCAUAGGAAGAACAUUUUCUUUGACCUUUAGGUGCUUUUAUAUUCAUCUCAAAAACAAAAUUCUGAUCUCAGGACUUGGCGAACCACUGCCAAGAAAGAAAUUCUGAUCUCAGGACUUGGCAAACCACUGCUGAAACUUCACUUCUACACAGACAGGCUUUCCUUCCCAUAACUCCAGACCAGCUGAGCAAUUAUAAGGUGUUUGCAAAGAAGACAGCUCUAUGGCAAAAUGACGAUGUUCAUUCCCAGCACAAAGGAGAGUACAGGAAUGCAGCAGGCCCAGGAAGCCCAAGCUCUUCUGAGACCUUGAGGAGAGGAAUAUACUCAAUUCAUACAGAGACAGGUUUUCGAUAUGUUACCCAGGCUCGUCUUGAACUUCUGGGCUCAAGUGAUCCUCUUGCCUCAGCCUCCCAAAGUGCUGAGAUUACAGGUAUGAGCCACCGUGCCCAGAUGAUAAUCAUUAUUUUAAGAUUUUUUCUACUCAUAUUUUUAAGAUUUUUUCUAGUUUGGAAAGCUGUUUUUUAAAAUAAACUUGUGUGUUAUAGAUAGAGCUUCUUGGUAAAGUAAUCAUCUGACUAUAAAGUGAUAAGUUCAAGGUUAAUUAUACAAUUACUGCCUCAUUCAUGUCAAAAAAAAGUUAGAAAGGGUGUGAUAUCCUGACAUUAAAAGUUGAUUUAUUUCCUCCUGUGCUUUGCUCUCCACGUAAUGUUGGGAAUUAUGACUGCAGUUAUUGAAAAUAUGCCAGAUACUGUCACACACAACUCGGAGGGCAU